GCAAGUCGAACGAGGUGCUUUUGUAGCAAUACGAGAGUAUCCUAGUGGCGAACGGGUGAGUAACGCGUUGGUGACCUACCCCAAAGUGUGGGAUAACAGUCCGAAAGGAUUGCUAAUACCGCAUGUGGUCUUCGGAUUUAGAAACUGAUGACUAAAGGAGCAAUUCGCUUUGGGAGGGACCUGCGUCCCAUCAGCUAGUUGGUGAGGUAAUGGCUCACCAAGGCUACGACGGGUAGGGGACCUGAGAGGGUGACCCCCCACAAUGGAACUGAAACACGGUCCAUACACCUACGGGUGGCAGCAGUAGGGAAUAUUGCACAAUGGGCGAAAGCCUGAUGCAGCAACGCCGCGUGUGCGAUGAAGGCCUUCGGGUCGUAAAGCACUUUUCUGGGAGAUGAGCAAGGACAGUAUCUCAGGAAUAAGUCUCGGCUAACUACGUGCCAGCAGCCGCGGUAAAACGUAGGAGGCAAGCGUUAUCCGGAUUCGCUGGGCGUAAAGCGCGUGCAGGCGGUUCGGUAAGUUGGGCGUGAAAUCUCCUGGCUUAACUAGGAGAGGUCGUUCAAUACUACCGGACUUGAGAGUGAUAGAGGAAGAUGGAAUUCCCGGUGUAGUGGUGAAAUGCGUAGAUAUCGGGAGGAACACCAGUGGCGAAAGCGAUCUUCUGGAUCAUUUCUGACGCUCAGACGCGAAAGCUAGGGUAGUAAACGGGAUUAGAGACCCCGGUAAUCCUAGCCGUAAACGAUGUAAACUUGGCGUCGGCGGCUUAAACUCCGUCGGUGCCGCAGCUAACGCGAUAAGUUUACCGCC
rnacentral:rRNA from 1 species